rnacentral:rRNA from 1 species
AGUCGAGGGAGAAGCAGGUCUUCGGAUUUGUGGAAACCGGCGCACGGGUGAGUAACGCGUGGGCAUCUGUCCUGGAGUGGGGGAUAACCGCUGGAAACGGCGGCUAAUACCGCAUACGCCCUGAGGGGGAAAGAUUUAUCGCUCUGGGAUGAGCCCGCGUCCGAUUAGCUUGUUGGUGGGGUAAUGGCCUACCAAGGCGACGAUCGGUAGCUGGUCUGAGAGGAUGAUCAGCCACACUGGGACUGAGACACGGCCCAGACUCCUACGGGAGGCAGCAGUGGGGAAUAUUGGACAAUGGGCGCAAGCCUGAUCCAGCCAUGCCGCGUGAGUGAAGAAGGCCUUAGGGUUGUAAAGCUCUUUCACCCGUGACGAUGAUGACGGUAGCGGGAGAAGAAGCCCCGGCUAACUCCGUGCCAGCAGCCGCGGUAAUACGGAGGGGGCGAGCGUUGUUCGGAAUUACUGGGCGUAAAGGGCGCGUAGGCGGGCUAGCAAGUCAGGGGUGAAAGUCCUGGGCUCAACCUGGGGACUGCCUUUGAAAC